rfam:Myotis brandtii contig201228, whole genome shotgun sequence.
CUGUCUCUUGCCUCAACAGUGCUUGGACAGAGCUG